rnacentral:rRNA from 1 species
ACGGGUGAGUAACACGUAGGUAACCUGCCUAUGAGACUGGGAUAACUAUCGGAAACGAUAGCUAAGACCGGAUAACUGGUUUUCUCGCAUGAGAGAAUCAUGAAACACGGAGCAAUCUGUGGCUUAUAGAUGGGCCUGCGGCGCAUUAGCUAGUUGGUAGGGUAACGGCCUACCAAGGCGACGAUGCGUAGCCGACCUGAGAGGGUGAACGGCCACACUGGGACUGAGACACGGCCCAGACUCCUACGGGAGGCAGCAGUAGGGAAUCUUCCGCAAUGGACGCAAGUCUGACGGAGCAACGCCGCGUGAGUGAUGAAGGUUUUCGGAUCGUAAAGCUCUGUUGCCCUAGACGAACAGCAAGGAGAGUAACUGCUCUUUGUGUGACGGUAUAGGAGAAGAAAGCCCCGGCUAACUACGCGCCAGCAGCCGCGGUAAUACGUAGGGGGCAAGCGUUGUCCGGAAUUAUUGGGCGUAAAGCGCGCGCAGGCGGUUAAUUAAGUUGGGUGUUUAAGCCCGGGGCUCAACCCCGGUUCGCAUCCAAAACUGGUUGACUUGAGUGUAGGAAAGGAAAGUGGAAUUCCACGUGUAGCG